GACGGUAGGGCGCGAGCGUUGUCCGGAUUUAUUGGGCGUAAAGAGCUCGUAGGCGGCUCGUUGCGUCGGCUGUGAAAACCCGCAGCUCAACUGUGGGCUUGCAGCCGAUACGGGCGGGCUUGAGUUCGGUGAGGGGAGACUGGAAUUCCUGGUGUAGCGGUGAAAUGCGCAGAUAUCAGGAAGAACACCCGUGGCGAAGGCGGCUCUCUGGUACGUGACUGACGCUGAGACGCGAAAAGCGUGGGGAGCGAACAGG
rnacentral:rRNA from 1 species